rnacentral:rRNA from 1 species
UACAGAGGGUGCAAGCGUUAAUCGGAAUUACUGGGCGUAAAGCGUGCGUAGACGGCUAUCUAAGUCGGGCGUGAAAGCCCCGGGCUCAACCUGGGAAUUGCAUUCGAGACUGAAUAGCUAGGGUGCGGUAGAGGGAAGCGGAAUUUCCGGUGUAGCGGUGAAAUGCGUAGAUAUCGGAAGGAACAUCAGUGGCGAAAGCGGCUUCCUGGACCAGCACCGACGUCAGGCACGAAAGCGUGGGGAGCAAACAGG